rnacentral:rRNA from 1 species
GAUGAACGCUGGCGGCGUGCCUAAUACAUGCAAGUCGAGCGAACGGACGAGAAGCUUGCUUCUCUGAUGUUAGCGGCGGACGGGUGAGUAACACGUGGAUAACCUACCUAUAAGACUGGGAUAACUUCGGGAAACCGUAUCUAAUACCGGAUAAUAUUUUGAACCGCAUGGUUCAAAAGUGAAAGACGGUCUUGCUGUCACUUAUAGAUGGAUCCGCGCUGCAUUAGCUAGUUGGUAAGGUAACGGCUUACCAAGGCAACGAUGCAUAGCCGACCUGAGAGGGUGAUCGGCAACACUGGAACUGAGACACGGUCCAGACGACUACGGGAGGCAGCAGUAGGGAAUCUUCCGCAAUGGGCGAAAGCCUGACGGAGCAACGCCGCGUGAGUGAUGAAGGUCUUCGGAUCGUAAAACUCUGUUAUUAGGGAAGAACAUAUGUGUAAGUAACUGUGCACAUCUUGACGGUACCUAAUCAGAAAGCCACGGCUAACUACGUG